rnacentral:rRNA from 1 species
UGGGGAAUUUUCCGCAAUGGGCGAAAGCCUGACGGAGCAAUGCCGCGUGGAGGUGGAAGGCCUACGGGUCGUCAACUUCUUUUCUCGGAGAAGAAACAAUGACGGUAUCUGAGGAAUAAGCAUCGGCUAACUCCCUGCCAG